ensembl:snoRNA SNORA61 small nucleolar RNA, H/ACA box 61
AUCCUCUGAUUCCCUUUCACAGGGGAUCUGAACCCUAGUCUGGGUGGUCCUAAAAGGAGGAAAAGUAACACUGAAGCUGAUCUCACAGUGCUUUGUGGCAAGUGGGUUAGUUUCAAACAGGU